GGGAGCCGAAAAAAGAUUUAGAGACCAGAGAGCGAGAGGGUUCUCUGUGAGAGAUUUUGAUUAGAAAUUUUUCUCCUUUGUUCCUUGAGAUCAUCUCUCUCUAUCGUCUCCUCGCGUAGGCUGUCGGAAUUCGGAAGAGAGGGAGGGAUUUGGGAGGGAUGGAUUGCUGGUGGGAUCGGGUGGUGAUUCCGAUGAGGCGAGUCUGGAUCAACGUGACUACUCGCGUCGGCGCUCGGAAAAACGGGUUGUGGAAGCUGAGGAAGGAGGUGAGGACGUGCGAGUAUGAGGACGUGCACGUGAUGUGGGAGAUGCUGCAGAAGACGGAGUCCGAGAUCGGGCGGUAUCCGCCGGUGGGAAUUGGUGGUGAUAGCAAGAUCCAACGGCGGCGGAGGAGGCAUCACCGGAUGGGGAAGGCGAGGGGAAGGAGCGGCGUGUGGUCGGCGGUGCUCGCAUACGCUCCUUAUAACUUCUGCCGUACCUUCUAAUGAGAUCGGAAUAUCGGACGAGUGCGAUAAGAAAGAGCUGGUCUCGGCAAUGGCGUAGCCGUCUUUUCCCACUUUUGUCAUCUCCGUCGCAUCUGUCAUUUCUCACGAAAUAGCCGUUCCAGUGCACGAAGAUACUCAUUGAUAAUUUGAUUCAAUGACUCGAAAAACACGGAAUAGCUCCUUAAAGUUACCUAGGGUGCGUACAUGCUGGAGACCUUGCUCAACUACCUCAUUUUGUAUAUCAGCUCAUGUUUUUUGGCAUAAAUUUUAAUUGGAAACUCAAUUUAUUGCUCAAAUAUUACAUGAUACUUAAAUUUUGAACA